AUUGAACGCUGGCGGCAGGCUUAACACAUGCAAGUCGAGCGGGGGAAGGUAGCUUGCUACCGGACCUAGCGGCGGACGGGUGAGUAAUGCUUAGGAAUCUGCCUAUUAGUGGGGGACAACAUCUCGAAAGGGAUGCUAAUACCGCAUACGUGCUACGGGAGAAAGCAGGGGAUCUUCGGACCUUGCGCUAAUAGAUGAGCCUAAGUCGGAAUAGCUAGGUGGGGGAGGAAAGGGCUACCAAGGCGACGAUCUGUAGCGGGUCUGAGAGGAUGAUCCGCCACACUGGGACUGAGACACGGCCCAGACUCCUACGGGAGGCAGCAGUGGGGAAUAUUGGACAAUGGGGGGAACCCUGAUCCAGCCAUGCCGCGUGUGUGAAGAAGGCCUUAUGGUUGUAAAGCACUUUAAGCGAGGAGGAGGCUACUUUAGUUAAUACCUAGAGAUAGUGGACGUUACUCGCAGAAUAAGCACCGGCUAACUCUGUGCCAGCCGCCGCAGUAA
rnacentral:rRNA from 1 species